GCUUACAGAAGAUGGGAUGAAAUUAUUUGAUAAAAUGGACGUAGAUUUUCGGGUCUCGCCAUAUUUAGAGCAUUAUGCUUGUUUGAUAGAUAUCCUGGGUAGGCAGGAAGAAUUGAGGAGGCCAUGGAUGUCUAUCACCUGUCACUUGCACCCAACAAAUAAACCAAACACUUCCCAAGUGUACUUGCUCCAUACCAAACAAGUUAGGAAUGAAAAGUAGAAUCCAGUACAAAUAACAAAGAGAAACGUAUAUCAUCUUUAAACAAGGCUACAGAUUCAAAUCAAAAGUAUCAUCUACAGCAUCUUGGGAAGUGAAAGCAUCUCCAGCCAAGAGGUUUCUCCGCAUUGCUCCCUCUAAAAUAUCAAUACAUAGUCGGUCUUUAUUUGUUUCCUGACUCAGAUCUAUUUUAGCAUGAUAAUCUUUUGUCCUGGUCAAUCUUUGGCAGAUGUUAUGAGCACUUCACCUAUCCAAUGUUAAGUCUGAAACACAAGCCCCUUUUCCCAGGAGAGACACAAUAAUUGAUGGUUCUCUUUGGAUUGCCGCAAUGUGAAGAGCCGUGUAACCUUGUGAAUUUCCAAGGUUGACAUCAACAACACCAAGGUCAAGUACCUCGGACACAACCUUGCAUUCACAGUAUGCAACAACAUGAUGAAGAGAAUUGGCAUCAACUGAUGUUACAUCAGAUCCAAUGAGGAAAAGUCGUACCAGAUCAACGUCAUCCAAGUCUAAUGCCUUGCGCAUUCUCCUAAUAACAUCAGAGAUCUGGUUAUUAUCAUACAUAGGCUCUUUAGGACUAAGUUCAGUUCUCUCUGGAAGAACAUUAGGAAGCGCCUUCUCCAUUGCUAUGUUAUCUGACUUUGAUAUUCUAUCUACACACUUACAUAUAAGUUCAACUGAUAGAUAUUGGACGAG
rnacentral:misc_RNA from 1 species